GCUCAUCAGUUCAGCUUCGCAAAAUGAAGUUCCCUGCUCAGCUCUUGGGGCUCUUCAUGCUCUGGAUCCCAGGAUCCAGUGGGGAUAUUGUGAUGACACAGAGCCCUCUGUCCCUGCCCAUCAACCCUGGACAGCCAGCCUCCAUCUCCUGCAGGGCCAGUCAGAGCCUCCUGCACAGUAAUGGAUACACCUAUUUAAGUUGGUACCAGCAGAAGCCAGGCCAGUCUCCACGGCUCCUCAUCUAUUAUGCUUCCAAUCGGGCCUCUGGGGUCCCUGAUAGGUUCAGUGGCAGCGGGUCAGGGACAGAUUUCACCCUGAGAAUCAGCAGGGUGGAGGCUGAGGACGUCGGGGUUUACUACUGCCAGCAAGCUCUACAAAGUCCUCCCACGGUGAAUAAACUUUGAACAAAAACCUGCCUGGCUGGGGAUUUCAACUGCCCCAAAGUGUUGCUUGUCUGGGGGGCCCACAGCAGGUCGUCCAAGUGUGUGUAAGCGGAAGACGUUGGACACCCCAGGGGACUAGAUCGCAGCUGAGGGCCCCACACCACGAGGGCUUUGGCUCCCCUCGGGCACCACGUGCUAAGGCCCCAUCAGGUGCCACAGCUUUAGGAUGGCAGAACCUGUCCU